rnacentral:lncRNA from 1 species
GAAAAAGCAAGAAAUCAACCAAGUAACUUUGUGACCAAUCAAGGCUUCCUGUGGCCUGUGUUGCUUGAGGGUUCCCAGUCAUUAUCUGUGUGAAGAUUGGGUCCAGCACUUAGCACCUAGAGUUAUAGCUGCUUGCUCCUUCCAGGAAAGAGAGUCAAAAAUCCAUGCCAACAGUGUUUGUCUGAGUGUGAGAAGAGAGCAUGUCAGAGCCAGUGGUGAGGCCCAGAUGAGUGUGUGCAGGGACCCAAGCUUUGCUGACUUUGUACCUCCAACCAGAGACCCUGAUGACAAAGCACAGCAUUGCUCCAGCAAGAUGCCUCUUGGACAUCACAGAUGCUCUUUCAUAGAAAGAGAGCCUGCCUUGCUUGCUUGCUCAUCUGUACCUCCAUUCCCAGCUCUAUAUCGAGGCUUUUUGGAGCUUAACUAAGAGUCAUGCCGGCCUGGUCAUGAAGCCGUCCUUCCAGGACAUUGAUACCACGAGUCUACUCAAUGUGUUAGUGUGCGCAUGGGUUUCCCGGCCAUCUACUGAAGCAUGGGCCUUUCUCAGGGACUGCAUCCAGAAACUGAGCCCGUUUCCUGAGCAGUCAUCCGUCGCUCAUUAGCUCCUUGGCUACUAGGAAGAAAACCAUAUUUUUAAAUGAAAAAAAAAUGUAAUAUGAAAUGGAAUUAUGACAUGGGAGAGAACUGAACUACCAAGUUACCACGUGGAAGAAAAACCAUCACCCAGG